AUUGAACGCUGGCGGCAUGCCUUACACAUGCAAGUCGAACGGCAGCAUGAUCUAGCUUGCUAGAUUGAUGGCGAGUGGCGAACGGGUGAGUAAUACAUCGGAACGUGCCCUGUAGUGGGGGAUAACUAGUCGAAAGAUUAGCUAAUACCGCAUACGACCUGAGGGUGAAAGUGGGGGACCGCAAGGCCUCAUGCUAUAGGAGCGGCCGAUGUCUGAUUAGCUAGUUGGUGAGGUAAAGGCUCACCAAGGCGACGAUCAGUAGCUGGUCUGAGAGGACGAUCAGCCACACUGGGACUGAGACACGGCCCAGACUCCUACGGGAGGCAGCAGUGGGGAAUUUUGGACAAUGGGCAAAAGCCUGAUCCAGCAAUGCCGCGUGUGUGAAGAAGGCCUUCGGGUUGUAAAGCACUUUUGUCCGGAAAGAAAUGGCUCUGGUUAAUACCUGGGGUCGAUGACGGUACCGGAAGAAUAAGGACCGGCUAACUACGUG
rnacentral:rRNA from 1 species